UGACUACUCAUUUUAAAACUUUAGAAUUAUAGCGAGCAAAGUGAUUUCGGGCGAUAACGACGAUGACACGUUCUGUGUAUUAAUGUCAUCAUAAUAUAAUACUAUAAACGAGUGAGUUUUAUAAGGCGACGUGGAAUCACAUAAAAUGAACUAUUGCGCGCGGAAAGGUUUUAUCGAAAGUGUGUAAGUGUAUUGAGAUGAUAAAAAUAUGGAUGACUUGCCGGCGACGAAAGAACGACAAUAAUUUGUAUCGAUCGAUGUCGAACACGUGCGACAAACCGAAAGACUUUUUAAGUGAAAACAAAAUCGCGCGUUCGUCUUAUGAGCGUCAGUGGCGUAUUGGAGGGCGUAUUAUACGGAGGGUGUAUUAUACGGGCGUAUAUACUCAUAACGUAUUAUUUGUCAAUGAUACCUUUUGGAAAAUAAACGCUACGCUAGUAUACGUCCAAAUACGAGCAUACACUGAUAACUACAAUAUUGAUAAUAUAUUUACGUCAUUGAAUAUUUUCGCUCAGAUAUGACGGAAAAUACCGACAUUUCAUCCGUAAAUAUCAUCAUGUGUAUUUUUUCGUUUUUUUGCAAUAGUGUGUUUA